GUGUUUUUCUUAUGUUUCUCAUACUUGAAAAGAAUAACCAUGAUUUUUGUGAACAAAAUACAUAUUUAUUGUGUUGUUUCUUUUUUCUUUCUUGCAAUUUUCACGACGAUCUUCAACCUUGCUACCACCUCACGCAAUAUAAAUAUUCCUCAGGAGGCAAUAGGACAAAGGACGAUGUCACAAGACAAAUCAAAGGUCUUUGUGGUUUCAUCAAGAAGUCUUCUUGGUGGCCUCGGGUCCCAUCCUCCGAGUUGCGUAGACAAGUGUGGGACAUGUACUCCAUGUGAACAUGUCCUAGUGUCUAUACCAUCAGUGUCUGCACCAACAAAGUCAACACCUUAAAAGAACAAUACUCACGACAUAGUAUGGAGAUGCAAGUGUGUGGGCAAGUUAUAUCCAUCUGGAUUUUAAUUUAAAAAAACUGAGACUCUGUAAGAUAGUAUUUAAUUAUCACGAUAUCCAAUAUAUUAAAAAAAAAAGUUAAAUUGUCUGAAA